GAGAAGAAGAAGAAGAAGAAGAGAGCACCCUGCAAUCAAAUACUUUCAGUGGAAAUGAAGGCUUACUGAUAUGAGCAUUUGCUAGUUAUCAGAGAUUGAUGAGAAUGAACACAAAAUAUGAAAAUAAUAUUGAAAGAAGGAAAAUUAUUCAGGCAUUUAUGCAAGACAAAUUUAAGAUAUGCUCCUUUGUGCUGUACUAGGGACAAUUAUCUGAUAACCUCACUAAUCUUUUAUCCUAUACAGAUCUGUUACCAAAAGCCUUGACACAUAAGUUUCCAAACGAUUAAUACAACUACAAUGGACCUUGUUUAAUACCGUGAUGAUGAUUAGUGAGGGAUUAUUUCAUUAUUUUAAUUGAUAAUUGCAAUUGAGUGUUACGGUGGAAAAUACUGCAUCGUGCCAAAGAACAAAAGAGCAACAUCAAGCCAUAAAAAGUCCAGAUUCCCUUUUUUUUUUUCUUUUUCACUAGUGUGAAAAAGAAUUUUAGCAGUUGGUAGAUAAAUUGUUAUAUCCAAAUGAGGGUCAGACAUCAACCUUCAGUUUAGGCAAUAAAACAAGUUAAGGGUAGUGAUAUCUCAAUAUUAAUUAUUUUUUCAGAUUUUUUGAGAACAUAAACAUUAUGUAUAAGAAAUAACUGUGUUCAACCAGGACAUUAGUGAGGAAAUCAAGACAAAGAACUUGCCUGUUGAACAUCAAGCCCCCGGGCCCAAACAUCAGUUGUGAUCAGGACGCGGGUUGUACCAGAUCGGAACUCUGACAUAAUUGCAUCUCUCUCCUUCUGAGGCAUGUCACCAUGCAUUGAUGAGACUGUAAAGUUAUUGCUCCGCAUCUUCUCAGUUAGCCAAUCCACCUGUCCAUGGUAAUGCAUUUGCAUACCAAUAGUAAGAACAACAAAAACACUUGAAUUCUAACUUUUUUGGGUCCGAUCCUAAUAUUCAGUGUCCCUUCAACUAAUGUCUAAUGCUCAACUAAAUUUAAUCCAAACAUCGGGUUGGCUAAAUAAAUCCAUUUCCUUAAUUUCCACCCAGUUUGGCUUAUUCUUAAAAAAGAUCAAAGCCUUUUAUUCUAUUUUCCUCCAUGUCAUCUUAGAUAUAGCCCUCCCUUUCGUAUCAACUACCACUUCAACUAAGCCUUUAAAAUAUAACUCUUUCGGCACCGAUUAUAAUUCAAACUCUGGCCAAAAGAGGUCUAAUUUCCUAGGUAUUCAAUCCAUUUUUAACAAAUAUGAAGCUAUCAAGUAUCAAUUUCCAAUUUUCAUAUUUGAAGCAGAAAACAGGGAUUUUGAACCCAGGCAGAACAGCUUCCAUCACUCUUCUGAAGAAGCUCUAAUCAACUUAAUAUCAACAGCCUGAUUUUGUAAAACUAUAUAUUGCAACUAACCACGUAUCUUCAAUAACUGCUUGAAUCUCACAAGUUGUGUGGACAAAACACAUAAAACCCUAGCGAAAUUGUACGCAACGCAUACAUUAGGCACCAAUGCGUUAUCCAAACAAACAGCAAGAAGAGUUUCAGUAGCUACUUUUGUCAUUUUGGAUAAUAGAUGAAGUUUUGCUUUAUGUUGAUAAAGAUUAAGAUAUUUGACAGACGGUAAAAUUAAAACAAAGAGAGCCUGCUGAAGUCACAAAUUUCAAUUUUGACGCACAAACAAGAUAUAUAGACAACCGCGAUAAACUCUUGAGAAUAUUCAUUUUAUUAUAACAAUCAACUGUCAGACAAAAGAUAGAAAUUAGAUCAGUGACAUCAUUACCUUCCGCUUUGUGUUGCAGAAAAUAACAGCCUGGGUGAUGGUAAGAGUAUCAUAAAGGUCGCACAGAGUAUCAAAUUUCCACUCUUCCCUUUCAACAGCUACAAAAAAUUGCUUGAUACCCUCUAAAGUCAAUUCAUCACGUUUCACAAGAAUCUUAACAGGAUCUGUCAUGAACUUGCUUGUCAUCUCCAAAAUUUCAUUAGGAAGGGUAGCAGAAAUCAAGACAACCUGAAGCUCUGGAGGAAGAUAUCUGUAUACAUCAUAAAUUUGAUCCUUGAACCCUCUGCUCAGCAUCUCAUCAGACUCAUCAAGAACUAAUAACCUAAUGGCUCUAGUACGUAAUGUCCUCCUCUUUAUCAUGUCACAAACUCUGCCUGGAGUUCCAGAAACAACAUGAACUCCAAACUCCAGCUUUCUAAUAUCCUCACCCACACUUUUGCCUCCAAUGCAUGCAUGUGCUUGUAUAUUAAUGUAAUCACCAAUUGCCAAUAUUACUUUCUCCGUCUGAGCUGCCAGUUCCCUUGUAGGUGAUAAUAUCAAUGCCUGGACCUCUCUACUAGAGGUAUCAACGAGUUGGCAAACAGUGAGGGCAAUCAUGGAGGUCUUGCCGGUACCGGAUUGCGCCUGAGCUAUCACAUCUCGGCCUUUGAUAAUGGGCAUAACUGCUCUCUGCUGUAUCGCAGACGGCUUCUCAAACCCGUAGGCAUAAAUUCCGCGAAGCAGAUCGUUCUUUAUGCCCAUCUCGUCGAAGCUUGUUAUAGGUUCUAUACCUUCGGUGGUCUCGAACGCCAAUUUUUCAUCUUCGGGAGCGGCUCUCCUCGCACUCCGCCCCGCCGGAACUACGCUUGUCGCCGCGGCCGCCAUCGCUUUGGCUGUGUGUCAGAUAACUAAUGUUUUCCAAUGCCCG
rnacentral:misc_RNA from 1 species